CGUCAGACCAGGAAAUGAAAUCAAAACACAAAGUGUGGAUGGCCUUUCUGGCAAGGCCUUGCUGACUGAAGCCAGGCUGAUGUGUGAAGGCAGCUGCCAGUUCGUGCUGCACUUGCUGGGGGUGUGUUGGUCCCCCGGGCCCCCGGGCUGCAGGAGGCUAGGCCUCGUCAUGCAGUUCAUAGAGAAAGGGUCCCUGGAGGCUCUGCUGGAGCAGCUCAGCCAGCUGCCCUGGCCUCUUACUUUCAGACUCGCCCACCAGGUGGUGCUGGGGACGAACUUCCUGCAUGAGCACAAGCCUGCUGUCCUGCUCCUGGACCUGAAAUCCAGCAAUGUGCAGCUGGACAACAGCUUCAAUGCUUAGAUGCAGGCUCCAGUUUGAUCACGUUGCUGAUUCCUCAAGGGCAGAGGCCGGAUAUUUCGAGCAUCAAUUUGACUGAGCAGAGAAGCAGGGAGACAUCGUGGAGCUGAUGUAGAGGUGCUGGGAUAGAGACCAGAACUGCGGGCCCUUGUUGAGCAGUGAGCGCCUUUUCAAAGGUUAAAGGCACAGUAGCAUCUGCAAGACGGGCGGAUCAGGUUUUUUCAGCCAGGCUUAAAAGGCCUGGGGAGAACCCUGAUUUGGGAAGGGUAUAGUUAGCAUACUGUGGUCCAAUUCUACCGUUGUCAUUGAAGAUCAGUUUAUAUUUCUGAAACUUUUCUUUGUACUUCAGAGCAAAAUGGCCAAAAGUGAAAGCAUGGAGAGUUUGAACAAGGAGAUUGUUGCUUAAGGAUCAGUUCUUACCAGCAGUCACCAGCACGUAAAAGCCAUUGGAUUUUCAGUUUUUGGGGUACUCCGUUAGUGUUGUGUACAUAUUACUGCUUUGGUAUCUACUGAUAAAAACACAGCACAGUGUAGUAAAGGACAGAGAAUAUAAAUAUAUAAAUUUCUUCUUUCUUAUUCAGUCUUCCUGUCCUUUCUUGCAUGCUUUUGUUUUUUAUUCUGUCCCUCCCUUUUCAUUUCUUUAAUAUAUUUUCAUUCUUUCUCCUCCCUUUUUCGUAACUUUCUUUUCUUACUCUUUCUUUUGUCUUUUUUCCUCCUUUUAUUUUCAUGUGUUUGCUUAUUCUUUUUGUGUUUCCUUCUUGUAUUGAUUCUGAAAUAAAGAGAGAAAAAAUACUUGCCAGUUUUUAACCCAUUGUACAGUCCAGAUUCUUCCUCCAGUUACUAACAGACUCCUUUGAAAUGUGCUUUGAAGAUGUGCCUUUGGAUCAACCCCUCCCAGUGCAACAGGUCCACAGCAGGCAAGAAAACACAUUAUCACUGGAGAAGAUUUGCACAGUAGAGCCUUAGUCAUUUGAAUGACUAUUUUACAUUUCUCUCAUUUGGAGUGGUUCUCUCAUUCGGAGUGGUUCUGGGUCCUGUUGCUCCAAUACUGAGUUUCUCUAAAUCUACCUUUACCUGGCUUGGAGCUGCUUUCAGCUUGCUUUGAGAAUCUUAAGUGCCAGGCACUGAACAGCCUUCCUCAUUCCAUUCAGAUCAUGUAUCAACUCAAUCAUGUGUCAACUACUGUCUCUCUGUCUCUCUCAUAGCAUUCUCCAGACAAGCUCCAAACCAGGUAAAGGCAGAUUUAAAGAACCUCAAUAUUGGAGUAACUGACUCCAGAAUUGCUACUUAGAUAGUCAGCUAGAUCAACCAGCUAGAUCUUUAUAGAAGCAGGAGCCAGCCCCAUGAAGUGAUCCGCCACUGUGGAUCAAGUUUUGUUCUGCUGGCAGUACACUAACUGUGCACUAGAAGGCAGUGGCAAUGGCACUUGCUAAUAUAAAGACACUGUAUCAGAAGCACUCAGAAUGGUUGCAGACAUCAUAAAAAUGUAAGGGGGCAGUAAAAAAGAAAAAGAAAUCUCACUACUUUUGAAAAUGAGAAAGUCAUUAAUUUUACUGAAAAAGCAGACAGAAAAACAGAGAAUGUCCAUUACUUUCUAUGCAGUAGAUUCACUGAUGCAAAUGAGAAACUAGGUUCAAUUCAGCAGAAAGCUGUUUAAACUCUGAAACCACAUUUUAUCAAUACAGAAAUAAAUGUUUUAAAUCUUGUUUUUUUUCACCAGGAAAUGUCAGGGUCAGUACGAAGCAUAUGUAUAAAACCAGUUCAAUAAACAACUUUUAAUAUUUAUUGUAUAAGUGCAUAGAAAAGCACAGAUAAGAUAGUGAACCAGCCCCCUUCUCAAAGUUUACUGCUUUGGUAUCUCCCUGGUAAAAGCACAGCUCAGUGUAGUAAAGCACAGAUAAGAUAAUGAACCAGCCCCUUCUCAAAGUUUACUGCUUUAGUAUCUCCCUGGUAAAAGCACAGCACAGUGUAGUAAAGCACAGAUAAGAUAAUGAACCAGCCCCUUCUCAAAGUUUACUGCUUUAGUAUCUCCCUGGUAAAAGCACAGCACAUUGUAGUAAAGCACAGAUAAGAUAAUGAACCAGCCCCUUCUCAAAGUUUCCAGGUGACCACAGAAGUGCAACACUGUCUGAAAGCAUGGCUUGUGCUAAAAGAUUUAAUACCUAUGUAGCUAAUGUGUGUAUAAAAUCUAUCUAAACAUGUGUUUAAAAUGUAUAUUAUACAAAGUAAUUGAGAAUUCACACAACAUUGUCAGCGCAUCAUAACAACUAGAGGGUACGUGGAGGAUGACAUACAAAGGAAGACUGUCUGACAGACACUAUGAUGCACCACUUGGCCACCAGAGGGCCCUUCAAUAAAGUUGUGUAGAAUUGAAAACAAUGUUGCGUGAAUUCUGACAGUGGAAUGUAAGCCCGUUCUCUCUGUUGGUGUCUCUCUCAAUAUCGGUAUCCGCUUCACAGCCUCAAAUGUGUCCGGAGUUCAGAUUGGAGAAACCACAGACAAACAACACAAGACAAAUAAAGCAAAGGAACCAGAAUAGAAACAAACCAUUUUACUUCUUCUUGGCCUCCUCUCGCUUGUGAACGUUCUUAUGUUCUUAAAAGGGGUUGUUGUAUCUGUUGCUCUUUUUUUACGCAUCUAAAGGUGGGGGAGCCAUCUUGAGGUUAGGCUGACCUGUGUUUGUGAGGUCUGUUUGUAUAGCUAUCUCUUUAUAUUUGUGUUCUUUUCUAUUAUUAUGAUAAGUCUCGUGGGUCACAAUCCCGCGUCGUGUGAAGCCACGUACCCCGGUCAUACCCGGGUUGGCCUGGUCAGCAGUGACCCACCUCAGAAUGUGGGCUAACACGCUUUGACCUGGGUCAAGCGAGACAAAAUGCAUGAUGGGCGUUCGUAAGCAGACGAAGUAACAAACAGCCAUGUCUGCGUGAAGGUUUCACUUCCUCAAGGAAAAUUUCUGUUUAUUUUGUUUAGCCAUAUUUUUGUGAUUGAGACACACCAGAGCCAGAUUGCAGCAGGGAUGAAGAAACAUUUACUCUAAUCAACAUUUGGGCCGACGAUUCAAUCCAGAGGAGCCUGGAUGGAAGAGUUUGUAACAAGCUGCUUCCGGGGCUUCACGUACGUGUAUUUACUUGCUUCUGUUAACCAGGUAGUCGCUGCUUUAUAAAAAGGCAGUGUGAAAUGGCAUGACACCAGGUUUCCACCUCGGUGUGAAAAUGGCUUCAAUUUUCUUUGCUAACUGGGAUUGCAGUUUUUUUAAUGCCCAUUCUUGUUUUUGGAGGUCAUUUUUGCGUUUGGGGAUUUCUUUUUUGAGAACUCUUGAUUGUUAAAUGCAAGAGACUUUUUCAACAAGUAUGGUGUAGAUAUGGGCUGCAAACAAUGGGGUUUCUAGAGACUAGGCCUGUCUUAUUUUUUUUUUGUUAAAUUGCCAACUUUAUGUUUUUAAUUCUAUUGCGUAAUCUUGCAAUUAUGUUUGAUUUUGUUUGUACAAGACUUAUUUCCUUAUUUUUGCCAUCCAUUUAACUUUUCAUGUGUUUCCCCAGCAUUUUAUUUUACAGCGCGUUUACCUCAUAUUAUGCUUCCAUGCCUUGUUUCUUGUCUGCUUUCCCUUUAAGUUUUUUUUUAUAUAUAUGUUUUCCAUUGUCAUACAUUUACUGACUUAAUUGUGCUUUUCUUGUUUAAAAAAAUGUUUUGGUGCAUGGCAAUAAACUCACUUUACAUGGUUGUCUCUA